rnacentral:lncRNA from 1 species
AUGUGGUUUAUGGGGGGGUAUUGGGGUAUUUGGGGUUCUAAUGGGGGUUUAUGGGGGGGUAUUGGGGUAUUUGGGUCUAAUGGGGUCCUUAUGGGGUCACUGCACUGGGGGUUCUCCGUUGCGCCCCCGGCCGAGUCCUGGGGUUUCAUCACAUGGAGUUCGGGGGGCUGGCAAAAAGAGCCAGUCGAUGCCGAAGAGCUUCAAAACACUCGUCUGCAUGGAAGAAAUUGGGACCCAAAAUUACACAAAUCAACCCAAAAUCAACAGAAAUGGGACCAAAAUGGCCCCAAAUGGGACCAAAAUGGCCCUAAAAGGACCCCAAAAGGACCUAAAAGGAGCCCAAAAUGACCUAAAAUGGGCCCAAAAUGAGCUUCAAAACACUCGUCUGGAACCAGAAAUGGACCAAAAUCACCAGAAAUCAACCCAAAAUCGACACAAAAUCAACUGAAAUGGGAACAAAUGGGUCCAAAAUGGCCCUAAAAGGAGCCCAAAUGGGACUAAAAUGGGACCAAAAUGGGUCCAAAAGGGACUAAAAUGGGUCCAAAAGGGACUCAAAUGAGCUUCAAAACACUCGUCUGGAACCAGAAAUGGACCAAAAUCAGCUGAAAUCAACCCAAAAUCGACCCAAAAUCAACUGAAAUGGGAACAAAUGGGACCAAAAUGGCCCCAAAUGAGCCCAAAAUGGGACUACAAUGAGCUUCAAAACACUCGUCUGCAACCGCAAAUGGACCAAAAUCACCACAAAUCAACCCAAAAUCAACACAAAAUCGACCCAAAAUCAACUGAAAUGGGAACAAAUGGGUCCAAAAUGGCCCUAAAAGGACCCAAAAUGGGUCCAAAAGGGACUAAAAUGGGUCCAAAAUGGGACUAAAAUGGCCCUAAAAGGACCCGAAAUGGGUCCAAAAGGGACUAAAAUGGGUCCAAAUGGGACUAAAAUGGGUCCAAAAUGGCCCUAAAAUGGGGCCCAAAUGGACCCAAAUGGGACCAAAAUGGGUCCAAAAGGGACUAAAAUGGGUCCAAAUGGGAC